rnacentral:rRNA from 1 species
GACGAACGCUGGCGGCGUGCUUAACACAUGCAAGUCGAACGGAAAGGCCCUGCUUUUGUGGGGUGCUCGAGUGGCGAACGGGUGAGUAACACGUGAGUAACCUGCCCUUGACUUUGGGAUAACUUCAGGAAACUGGGGCUAAUACCGGAUAGGAGCUCCUGCUGCAUGGUGGGGGUUGGAAAGUUUCGGCGGUUGGGGAUGGACUCGCGGCUUAUCAGCUUGUUGGUGGGGUAGUGGCUUACCAAGGCUUUGACGGGUAGCCGGCCUGAGAGGGUGACCGGCCACAUUGGGACUGAGAUACGGCCCAGACUCCUACGGGAGGCAGCAGUGGGGAAUAUUGCACAAUGGGCGGAAGCCUGUUGCAGCAACGCCGCGUGCGGGAUGACGUCCUUCGGGUUGUAAACCGCUUUCGCCUGUGACGAAGCGUGAGUGACGGUAAUGGGUAAAGAAGCACCGGCUAACUACGUG